rnacentral:tRNA from 1 species
GGGCCUGUGGCUUAAUGGUAUAGCGCUCGACUGAUAAUCGAGAGGUCGGGAGUUCGAUUCUCCCCAGGCCCA